rfam:Danio rerio chromosome 5, GRCz11 reference primary assembly.
AGAAACAGCCGUAUCACCCUGCAGCCCAAGACCGGUUACUCACUGUAGCUAAGCUGGGCUGAGCCUAGUCAGUACCUGGAUGGGAGACCAUAUGGGAAAGCUAGGUUGCUGUUGGAA